CCGGAAAAAGAAGAGUGGCGAACGGGUGAGUAACACGUGGGUAACCUGCCCAUCAGAAGGGGAUAACACUUGGAAACAGGUGCUAAUACCGUAUAACAAUCGAAACCGCAUGGUUUUGAUUUGAAAGGCGCUUUCGGGUGUCGCUGAUGGAUGGACCCGCGGUGCAUUAGCUAGUUGGUGAGGUAACGGCUCACCAAGGCCACGAUGCAUAGCCGACCUGAGAGGGUGAUCGGCCACAUUGGGACUGAGACACGGCCCAAACUCCUACGGGAGGCAGCAGUAGGGAAUCUUCGGCAAUGGACGAAAGUCUGACCGAGCAACGCCGCGUGAGUGAAGAAGGUUUUCGGAUCGUAAAACUCUGUUGUUAGAGAAGAACAAGGAUGAGAGUAACUGUUCAUCCCUUGACGGUAUCUAACCAGAAAGCCACGGCUAACUACGUGCCAGCAGCCGCGGUAAUACGUAGGUGGCAAGCGUUGUCCGGAUUUAUUGGGCGUAAAGCGAGCGCAGGCGGUUUCUUAAGUCUGAUGUGAAAGCCCCCGGCUCAACCGGGGAGGGUCAUUGGAAACUGGGAGACUUGAGUGCAGAAGAGGAGAGUGGAAUUCCAUGUGUAGCGGUGAAAUGCGUAGAUAUAUGGAGGAACACCAGUGGCGAAGGCGGCUCUCUGGUCUGUAACUGACGCUGAGGCUCGAAAGCGUGGGGAGCAAACAGGAUUAGAUACCCUGGUAGUCCACGCCGUAAACGAUGAGUGCUAAGUGUUGGAGGGUUUCCGCCCUUCAGUGCUGCAGCUAACGCAUUAAGCACUCCGCCUGGGGGAGUACGACCGCAAGGUUGAAACUCAAAGGAAUUGACGGGGCCCGCACAAGCGUGGAGCAUGUGGUUUAAUUCUAAGCAACGCGAAGAACCUUACCAGGUCUUGACAUCCUUUGAC
rnacentral:rRNA from 1 species